CAGGCCCUUCACUUAGUGUAUUUGACAAGCUGUGUUUGACACUCUGUAUCUGCGAGUGUCAGUUUGUCAAAUACCCCAAGUGAGG
ensembl:miRNA tni-mir-223 tni-mir-223